rnacentral:tRNA from 1 species
UGCUAAGAAAAGGGGUUGAACCUUUAUUUAAGCGUUU